UACAGAGGUCUCAAGCGUUGUUCGGAUUCAUUGGGCGUAAAGGGUGCGUAGGCGGCGUGGUAAGUCGGAUGUGAGAUCUCGGGGCUUAACUCCGAAACUGCAUUCGAUACUGCCGUGCUUGAGGACUGGAGAGGAGACUGGAAUUUACGGUGUAGCGGUGAAAUGCGUAGAUAUCGUAAGGAAGACCAGUGGCGAAGGCGGGUCUCUGGACAGUUCCUGACGCUGAGGCACGAAGGCCAGGGGAGCAAACGGG
rnacentral:rRNA from 1 species